UAGGGAAUCUUCCACAAUGGGCGCAAGCCUGAUGGAGCAACACCGCGUGAGUGAAGAAGGGCUUCGGCUCGUAAAGCUCUGUUGUUAGAGAAGAACGUGCGUGAGAGUAACUGUUCACGCAGUGACGGUAUCUAACCAGAAAGUCACGGCUAACUACGUCCCAG
rnacentral:rRNA from 1 species